rfam:Triticum urartu cultivar G1812 contig247903, whole genome shotgun sequence.
AACAUACUCCCUCCAUCCCAAAUUAGUUGUCUUAGAUUUGUCUAGAUACGGAUGUAUCUGGACACGUUUAGAUACAUCCCUUUUUAGACAAAUCUGAGUCAACUAAUUCGGAACGGAGGGAGUACAUA